rnacentral:rRNA from 1 species
GAGUUUGAUCUUGGCUCAGGAUGAACGCUAGCGGCAGGCUUAAUACAUGCAAGUCGAGGGGCAUCAGCUUAUAGCAAUAUAGGGCUGGCGACCGGCAAACGGGUGCGGAACACGUACACAACCUUCCUUUAAGAGGGGGAUAGCCCAUAGAAAUGUGGAUUAAUACCCCGUAAGAUAGUGGGAUGGCAUCAUACUACUAUUAUAGUUACGACGCUUGAAGAUGGGUGUGCGUCUGAUUAGGUAGUUGGCGGGGUAAAGGCCCACCAAGCCUUCGAUCAGUAGCUGAUGUGAGAGCAUGAUCAGCCACACGGGCACUGAGACACGGGCCCGACUCCUACGGGAGGCAGCAGUAAGGAAUAUUGGUCAAUGGACGCAAGUCCGAACCAGCCAUGCCGCGUGAAGGAUGAAGGUCCUCUGGAUUGUAAACUUCUUUUAUAGGGGGCGAAAAAAGGGAAAUCUAUCUCACUUGACAGUACCCUAUGAAUAAGCACCGGCUAACUCCGUGCCAGCCG